rnacentral:rRNA from 1 species
AACGAACGCUGGCGGCAUGCCUAACACAUGCAAGUCGAACGAGACCUUCGGGUCUAGUGGCGCACGGGUGCGUAACGCGGGGGAACCUGCCCUUAGGUUCGGAAUAACUCCCCUAAAGGGGUGCUAAUACAGGAUAAUGUCUUCGGACCAAAGAUUUAUCGCCUUUGGAUGGGCCCGGGUUGGAUUAGCUAGUUGGUAGGGUAAAAGCCUACCAAGGCGACGAUCCAUAGCUGGUCUGAGAGGAUGAUCAGCCACACUGGGACUGAGACACGGCCCAGACUCCUACGGGAGGCAGCAGUGGGGAAUAUUGGACAAUGGGCGAAAGCCUGAUCCAGCAAUGCCGCGUGAGUGAUGAAGGCCUCAGGGUUGUAAAGCUCUUUUACCCGGGAUGAUAAUGACAGUACCGGGAGAAUAAGCUCCGGCUAACUCCGUG